GUGAGGAAUAUUGGACAAUGGGCGCAAGCCUGAUCCAGCCAUGCCGCGUGCAGGAAGACGCAUCUAUGGUGUGUAAACUGCUUUUGUACGGGAAGAAACACUCCCUCGUGAGGGAGCUUGACGGUACCGUAAGAAUAAGGAUCGGCUAACUCCGUGCCAGCAGCCGCGGUAAUACGGAGGAUCCAAGCGUUAUCAGGAAUCAUUGGGUUUAAAGGGUCCGUAGGCGGUUUAAUAAGUCAGUGGUGAAAGCCCAUCGCUCAACGAUGGAACGGCCAUUGAUACUGUUAGACUUGAAUUACAAGGAAGUAACUAGAAUAUGUAGUGUAGCGGUGAAAUGCUUAGAUAUUACAUGGAAUACCAAUUGCGAAGGCAGGUUACUACUUGUGGAUUGACGCUGAUGGACGAAAGCGUGGGGAGCGAACAGGAUUAGAAACCCGAGUAGUCC
rnacentral:rRNA from 1 species